rnacentral:lncRNA from 1 species
AAAACCAGGACAGAAGUGUAAUUUUGCAGCAGGCAUACAAAAUAAUUUUUUGUGAACUCAUUUUCUGCAAUCCAGAGGACUAUAUUUUGGAAGCAGGAAUAGAGCUGCUCUGACACCUGUGAGCACAAAUGACUUUGGAUGAAGGUCGGUGCUGGGCUGCAGCAUUCUGUGUCCAAGCCCCGUACGGAGAAUCCUAUCUCCUCCUGGUGAUUUUAAGGACAGUGUCCUCGCAGGAAGACAUACUGAUUAUGGACAACUGGUACUUCUUACUGGUUUACCUCCUCGCCUUUCAUGUGUGCCUGGGACUGGGAACCCCCCUGCGCUCUGCAGCGGGAUGAAGAACAGCAAUUAAAGGAUGGCCAUAUUCCCUCAGCAGUUCCAUAACCUGCUUUUUUGAAGCAGC